AUCACCUAAAAUUAAUUUUGUGAACAUAAUUAUUAUGAUGUUGCGACAGGUCCAAUUUAUGUGAGCUAAGGAAAUAAUUACUUUUACUAUGAGGCGGGCUUAUAAAUGAUAUAAUGCCUAUAAUGUAGACAACACACUAAACCCUAACAUGUGGCUAUAUUUACCUUGUGCACUUAUACAGGCCAAUCUGCUGCAAUCACUUGGUUGUGAGAUGGCUACAAUGAUGUUGUUGAUAAAAAGGUUUUAAGUGUGGGAACCACAGAUGGGAAAAAAUUUCUUCAAUCUCACCCUGCAAUCCUGUCAUCCUUCAGCUCCUACUUUCUGUAUGAUGACUUGUCCAAGAAACAAUUUGCUACCCCAGCCACUGCAGCCUCGUCAAGUACAACCAGUCUCAACACAAAUUCCAGCUCAUUCAAUGUUACCUCAACAAACGCAAACCCAAUCAACACCACCUCAUCUACUACAUCCAAAGCUGUUAUUUCCACUGUGAAGAAAUCAACCACUAAAACUACAACCAAAGCAACACCUUCUGGAAUCUUGUCCAAUCAAGCUAUUUCUAACACUGAUACCGUCAGUACGAUUUUUAUGAAAGGCAGAGAUGGAAGUAUUGUUGCAACAGGUACAGUGCUUCCUGGUGUACAUAAAACCAUUCAUGGUCGUCCUUGCCAAAAAGAUUGUGAAACGCUUUCCGUUGUGGAUGUUGUACAAGUUGGUGCUGAAGCUUGGUUUGAAGAUGCUUUGGGGGAAAAUAAAUUGAGCACAGGGAUCAUCGUGGAAUGGCCGAGCAGUAUGAUAUCAAACGUAGCUGAUGUCUCCCCACUUCAUACAAGAACUAAUCGCAAACGUAAAUAACCAGCUGACUAUAAAACUACUAUGAUAAUUGUUAUAAUUAUUGUAUAUACAAUUGUAAUAGGAAUGGUAAAGGUUUCCUUCCAUUUUAUUCGCGAUUCUAUAUUCUCUCUAUCUUGUGUACUGUAUACGUAAGUAAGAUUACGUUAUUAUUGUUUGUACGUACGUAUAUAAUUAUGUAUGUACAAUUGUAUGUAUGACAUAGAUAAUAAUUUAUGUCCGAGUUUAGGACUAUAUAUAUAAUUGUCAAAACUA